UACACAAUUGGUGUUUCAGGAGCUGAUGACAAGUGUACAACUCAACAGAGCCACACUGUCUCUGUGAACACAGAACCAUGCGCUCCCUCUAAAGUGUCCAGCCAGCUGAUCUGUAGUGCUAGAGCUGCUCAUGUGUCCUGGGACCCCAGUCCAAAUGCACUGAGCUAUGCAGUGGAAGCCAUAAGUGAUGGGCAGACCCUCACCUGCAACAGCUCCAGCCCCAACUGCACACUGAGUAACCUGCUCUGUGGCCAAGCAUAUGAAAUUCUUGUGACUGCCACGGAUGGCACCUGUGUCAGCAACUACAGUGCCCCCUUCAGGCAAGACCAAGUGCCAUGUGCUCCAGGGAACAUCAGUACAGACUUGUCCUGCAGCACCAAUGACUUAACGGUCAGCUGGAUCUCUUCUUCUGCAUCCCUCAAUUACAGUGUCACUGC